GGCCGCGUGGCGCAAUGGAUUACGCGUCUGCCUACGGAGCAGAAGAUUUCAGGUUCGAGCCCUGCCGUGGUCG
rfam:Angiostrongylus costaricensis strain Costa Rica genome assembly, scaffold: ACOC_scaffold0001781